rnacentral:rRNA from 1 species
GUGGGGAAUUUUGGACAAUGGGCGCAAGCCUGAUCCAGCAAUGCCGCGUGCAGGAAGAAGGCCUUCGGGUUGUAAACUGCUUUUGUACGGAACGAAAAGGCUCUGGUUAAUACCUGGGGCUCAUGACGGUACCGUAAGAAUAAGCACCGGCUAACUACGUGCCAGCAGCCGCGGUAAUACGUAGGGUGCAAGCGUUAAUCGGAAUUACUGGGCGUAAAGCGUGCGCAGGCGGUUUUGUAAGACAGACGUGAAAUCCCCGGGCUCAACCUGGGAAUGGCGUUUGUGACUGCAAAGCUGGAGUGCGGCAGAGGGGGAUGGAAUUCCGCGUGUAGCAGUGAAAUGCGUAGAUAUGCGGAGGAACACCGAUGGCGAAGGCAAUCCCCUGGGCCUGCACUGACGCUCAUGCACGAAAGCGUGGGGAGCAAACAGGAUUAGAUACCCGGGUAGUCC